rnacentral:rRNA from 1 species
AAUGAACGUUGGCGGCGUGGAUUAGGCAUGCAAGUCGAGCGAGAACCGGUUUCGGCCGGGGACAGCGGCGAACGGCGUAGUAAUGCAUCGGAACGUACCCUCUGGUCGGGGAUAGCUACGGGAAACUGUAGGUAAUACCCGAUAAACUCUGCGGAGCAAAGGUGAGAUUCCGCCGGAGGAGCGGCUGAUGUGAUAUUAGCUAGUUGGUGGGGUAAAGGCUUACCAAGGCGAUGAUGUCUAGGGGGUGUGAGAGCAUGGCCCCCACGACCGGAACUGAGAUACUGUCCGGACACCUACGGGUGGCUGCAGUCGAGAAUCUUCCGCAAUGGACGAAAGUCUGACGGAGCGACGCCGCGUGCGGGAUGAAGGCCCUUGGGUUGUAAACCGCUGUCAGAGGGGAUGAAAUCUCCGAAGGUACUCCUUCGGAGUUGACAGAGCCUCAAAGGAAGCACGGGCUAAGUACGUGCCAGCCGCCGCAGUAAAAC